rnacentral:misc_RNA from 1 species
GAUGAAGAACGCAGCGAAAUGCGAUAAGUAAUGUGAAUUGCAGAAUUCAGUGAAUCAUCGAAUCUUUGAACGCACAUUGCGCCCGCCAGUAUUCUGGCGGGCAUGCCUGUCCGAGCGUCAUUUCAACCCUCGAACCCCUCCGGGGGGUCGGCGUUGGGGACCUCGGGAGCCCCUAAGACGGGAUCCCGGCCCCGAAAUACAGUGGCGGUCUCGCCGCAGCCUCUCCUGCGCAGUAGUUUGCACAACUCGCACCGGGAGCGCGGCGCGUCCACGUCCGUAAAACACCCAACUUCUGAAAUGUUGACCUCGGAUCAGGUAGGAAUACCCGCUGAACUUAAGCAUAUCAUAAGCGGAGGA